GAGAAGGCGCUAAGUUGGGUGGAAAGUUUGCCUGGACAACUCUCACAGCUCUGGCCUCCCCUCCCCCUCCUGUCUCUCUGCUGCCCAGCCAGGAGGAGAAGGCUGGUUAGCAAAGAAAUGGCAACCGAGCCCGGAGCUGGAACUAGAAACUUUCUGUCAAUGUUGUAUCUGCGUGGGUGGUGACCCAAUGGUGGUUGGGCUUCGGGUCACGUGACAACUUCUUUGUAGCUCCGGAAGAGGACUGUGAAGUUUAGGUUUCGUGGAAGAAACGGAGAAUUGAGGAAAAAAAAUCAAGAUUUGGGGGGAAUUACCUACAAAGAUGUAAGGUGUGUUAAUUUGGGCGCUUCUUGGAUUCUACCCUGAGGAGGAGGCGCAUGGUGAGAGGAGAGAUCUUGAUCUGCCGCUCGCUGAGGUUCAGCAGGUUGGCCAUCUCCACACGGCGAGGCCGGCACAGGUAGCGGUUGAAAUGGAACUCCUUCUCCAGCUCCACCAGCUGCGCGCUCGUGUACGCCGUUCGCGCCCUCUUGGACGCUGCCGACCCCGGGGGGCUCUUGUCCCCUCCAGCGCCGCCGCCGCUGCCGCCCCCGCCGCCGCCACCGCCUCCGCCGCCGCUGCUGCCACCACCGCCGCCGCCGCCACCACAGCCCUCUGCUGGAUCCGAGGGGGAGGGGUGGGAAGGGGAGAAAAUGAAAUAAAAGAUAAUUACUGAACAC